rnacentral:misc_RNA from 1 species
GAUGAAGAACGUAGCGAAAUGCGAUACUUGGUGUGAAUUGCAGAAUCCCGUGAACCAUCGAGUCUUUGAACGCAAGUUGCGCCCGAAGCCAUUAGGCCGAGGGCACGCCUGCCUGGGCGUCACACGUCGUUGCCCCCCCAUCUACUCCUUCGGGAUUGCGGGGGGCGGAUGAUGGCCUCUCGUGCGCCUCGUCGCGCGGUUGGCCUAAAUGCCAAGUCCUCGGCGACGCACGCCACGACAAACGGUGGUUGCGAAACCUCGGUUGCCUGUCGUGUGCGGUCGUCGCGCAUCGAGGGCUCGAAAAAAUUGCCGGGCUUCGGCUCGACUUUCAACGCGACCCCAGGUCAGGCGGGGUUACCCGCUGAAUUUAAGCAUAUCAAUAAGCGGAGGA